rnacentral:rRNA from 1 species
UACAGAGGUCUCAAGCGUUGUCCGGAUUUAUUGGGCGUAAAGAGCUCGUAGGCGGCUCAUUGCGUCGUCGGUGAAAACCCGUGGCUUAACUGCGGGCUUGCCGACGAUACGGGUGGGCUGGAGUUCGGUAGGGGAGUGUGGAAUUCCCGGUGUAGCGGUGAAAUGCGCAGAUAUCAGGAGGAACACCGGUGGCGAAGGCGGAUCUCUGGGCCUGUCCUGACGCUCAGGCGCGAAAGCUAGGGGAGCAAACAGG